CCUACGGGAGGCAGCAGUGAGGAAUAUUGGUCAAUGGACGAGAGUCUGAACCAGCCAAGUAGCGUGAAGGAUGACUGCCCUAUGGGUUGUAAACUUCUUUUAUAUGGGAAUAAAACGUUCCACGUGUGGGACUUUGUAUGUACCAUAUGAAUAAGCAUCGGCUAACUCCGUGCCAGCAGCCGCGGUAAUACGGAGGAUCCGAGCGUUAUCCGGAUUUAUUGGGUUUAAAGGGGGCGUAGGUGGAUUGUUAAGUCAGUUGUGAAAGUUUGGGGCUCAACCGUAAAAUUGCAGUUGAAACUGGCAGUCUUGAGUACGUGAGAGGUAGGCGGAAUUCGUGGUGUAGCGGUGAAAUGCUUAGAUAUCACGAAGAACUCCGAUUGCGAAGGUAGUUCACUGGACUGCAACUGACACUGAGGCUCGAAAGUGUGGGUAUCAAACAGGAUUAGAUACCCCUGUAGUC
rnacentral:rRNA from 1 species